rnacentral:rRNA from 1 species
AGGAUCCAAGCGUUAUCCGGAUUUAUUGGGUUUAAAGGGAGCGUAGGUUGACAUAUAAGUCAGCUGUGAAAGUUUACGGCUCAACCGUGAAAUUGCAGUUGAUACUGUAUGUCUUGAGUGUACAAGAGGUGGGCGGAAUUCGUGGUGUAGCGGUGAAAUGCUUAGAUAUCACGAAGAACUCCAAUUGCGAAGGCAGCUCACUGGGGUACAACUGACACUGAGGCUCGAAAGUGUGGGUAUCAAACAGGAUUAGAUACCCUGGUAGUCCACACAGUAAACGAUGAAUACUCGCUGUUUGCGAUAUACAGUAAGCGGCCAAGCGAAAGCAUUAAGUAUUCCACCUGGGGAGUACGCCGGCAACGGUGAAACUCAAAGGAAUUGACGGGGGCCCGCACAAGCGGAGGAACAUGUGGUUUAAUUCGAUGAUACGCGAGGAACCUUACCCGGGCUUGAAUUGCAGAGGAACAUAGUUGAAAGAUUAUGGCCGCAAGGUCUCUGUGAAGGUGCUGCAUGGUUGUCGUCAGCUCGUGCCGUGAGGUGUCGGCUUAAGUGCCAUAACGAGCGCAACCCUUAUCAUUAGUUACUAACAGGUCAUGCUGAGGACUCUAGUGAGACUGCCGUCGUAAGAUGUGAGGAAGGUGGA